rnacentral:rRNA from 1 species
ACGUAUUCUGAAAGGGAUACUUCUUCGGACAAUAUACAAGGUGCUGCAUGGUUGUCGUCAGCUCGUGCCGUGAGGUGUCGGGUUAAGUCCCAUAACGAGCGCAACCCCUAUCAUUAGUUGCCAUCAGGUCAAGCUGGGGACUCUAAUGAAACUGCCUACGCAAGUAGUGAGGAAGGUGGGGAUGACGUCAAAUCAGCACGGCCCUUACGUCCAGGGCUACACACGUGCUACAAUGGCCGGCACAGCGGGAAGCGAGGCAGUGAUGCCAAGCGGAUCCCUUAAAGCCGGUCUCAGUUCGGAUUGAAGUCUGCAACUCGACUUCAUGAAGCUGGAAUCGCUAGUAAUCGCAGAUCAGCCAAGCUGCGGUGAAUACGUUCCCGGGCCUU